AGCCCAGACUCCUACGGGAGGCAGCAGUGGGGGAUAUUGGACAAUGGGGGAAACCCUGAUCCAGCGACGCCGCGUGAGUGAAGAAGUAUUUCGGUAUGUAAAGCUCUGUCAGCAGGGAAGAAAGAAAUGACGGUACCUGACCAAGAAGCCCCGGCUAACUACGUGCCAGCAGCCGCGGUAAUACGUAGGUGGCAAGCGCUAUCCGGAUUUAUUGGGUUUAAAGGGUGCGCAGGCGGAGGCACAAGUCAGCGGUAAAAGCGCGGGGCUCACCCCCGCGCCGCCGUUGAAACUGUGUCCCUUGAGGGCGCGAAGGGUAGGCGGAAUGCGUGGUGUAGCGGUGAAAUGCAUAGAUAUCACGCAGAACUCCGAUCGCGGAGGCAGCCUACCGGCGCGCAACUGACGCUCAUGCACGAAAGCGUGGGGAUCGAACAGGAUUAGAUACCCCGGUACGG
rnacentral:rRNA from 1 species